CUCCUCACCGACGCCACCACCCAAGCUGGCCAGUUCCAACAUGCCCCCAAGCUCCCCGAGCUCCGCCGCUCCCUCCCCUCCAUCCAGAUCUGUGCCUUAAGGCAUGCAUACUUUCCCUUGGAUAGGGCUUCGGGCGCCCCCCUGUUCUUGUCGGAAUCCACCACAAUAGGCGAUGGCAAGGCUGGAGCUUGCGUGGUCCGUCACCUGCAUUGCCCAGGUAGGCCCUUCCACCCUCUCCUCCGCACCUCACCUUCUCUUCUUAUCCAUCCCCUUGCUGCAUGUCACCAUGGCGUGGAUAUGGUAAUAACAACAAGUGGGCACCGACCUUGCCCUGCUUGAGGAGGAGGAGGAGGAGGGGCGCACCUAGGCACCGGCCAUGCUCUGCUCGAGGAGGAGGGGCUGGAGGGUUCUGCUCCUAGGGCAACCAACAAGCCCUGCCCGAGCUCAAGCGUGGCCAUGAUGACCCACCGCGACAUGUAGAAUAUAGCGAGUGAGUGGGAAGGUUUGUGCAAAUAUCUUACCUUGAGGUCAUCAUGGAUGCGCACAAUAUGACAUGAAUUGGCGAAAAAUAGGGAUCUGCAAGAUCAACUUUAAAGGUUAAGACCAAAAAUGGAAUUUAUUGAUCUAAAGAUGGAUCACAUUAAUAGUCGCACUACCAAACCACCAGAUAAGAUGAAAUCAUACUAUGGUUUGGAUUUUAUGUUUUACUCGGCCUUCGCAAGAAAAUUCCAAGUAUUUAGUGUACUACUAUUGUUGAGUGCACUCGGUUAAGAUGCCUGAAUUUAAAUAAAAGCCUAAAACAGUUCUAAGAUCUAAUGUGUGAUCAGGACUAUAUUUGUAUUAGUUCAAGAGAUUUGAUAUGGUAACCGUUGCUGCAUCACAUAUUAUUAUUAGUUUUCUCUUACUUA